UACGGAGGAUGCAAGCGUUAUCCGGAUUCAUUGGGUUUAAAGGGUGCGUAGGCGGAUUGAUAAGUCAGUGGUGAAAUCCUACAGCUUAACUGUAGAACUGCCAUUGAUACUGUCAUGUCUUGAGUUUGGUUAAGGUAGGCGGAAUGUGUAAUGUAGCGGUGAAAUGCUUAGAUAUUACACAGAACACCAAUUGCGUAGGCAGCUUACUGGACCGACACUGACGCUGAGGCACGAAAGCGUGGGGAUCGAACAGGAUUAGAUACCCUGGUAGUCCACGCCGUAAACGAUGAUUACUCGCUGUUGGCGAUACACAGUCAGCGGCUAAGCAAAAGCAAUAAGUAAUCCACCUGGGGAGUACGGCCGCAAGGCUGAAACUCAAAGGAAUUGACGGGGGCCCGCACAAGCGGAGGAACAUGUGGUUUAAUUCGAUGAUACGCGAGGAACCUUACCUGGGCUUAAAUGUAGAGUGCAUGAGGUGGAAACACUUCUUUCCUUCGGGACUCUUUGCAAGGUGCUGCAUGGUUGUCGUCAGCUCGUGCCGUGAGGUGUCGGGUUAAGUCCCAUAACGAGCGCAACCCUUAUCGUUAGUUGCCAGCGGGUAAAGCCGGGGACUCUAGCGAAACUGCCACCGUAAGGUGAGAGGAAGGUGGGGAUGACGUCAAAUCAGCACGGCCCUUAUGUCCAGGGCUACACACGUGUUACAAUGGCCGGCACAGAGGGCAGCUACCUGGUGACAGGAUGCUAAUCUCGAAAACCGGUCUCAGUUCGGAUCGAAGUCUGCAACUCGACUUCGUGAAGCUGGAUUCGCUAGUAAUCGCGCAUCAGCCAUGGCGCGGUGAAUACGUUCCCGGGCCUUGUACACACCGCCCGUCAAGCCAUGGAAGCUGGGGGUGCCUGAAGUCCGUAACCGUAAGGAGCGGCCUAGGGUAAAACUAGUGACUGGGGCU
rnacentral:rRNA from 1 species